CGCUGGGCCGACGCGAGACGACUGAGCGCGUCAGGUCGCUAGCUAGCCCAAGAAUUUUCCUUCAUGCGAUCAGAAAACAAUGAAUCUUUACGGAAAUAUAUGCUAGAGUUUAGCUAUACACCUCGUGGCUCGAUCACCAGACCAGUUCUAAGGACAGAUUCAAACUAGAGACGCAGGAAUGAUGGGAUUGUCAAACCUCUAAAUUUCGAAAAAAUACAGCUUCUUUCUUAACAAAAUGUCAAUAACUAUUUUAUGGCCCUAAGUCGAACCAAAGAUCUCGGAAACUGCGGACAUUAAAAUCAAAUCCAAUGCCUUUUAUUCAAGGCGUUUUAAUAUUUAGACAAGGACCCAUUCUACAAACUGGAACCGUUUUAUGUUUUGGCGGUAGAAUAAGUAAUGAGCAGGUGGAACCUACUCAAAUGGUUGGAACAAAUAGCAGAAAUAUUUUUGAUUAAUAUCUUGGAACAA